rnacentral:rRNA from 1 species
CCCUUGGAUGUUCUGGGCCGCACGCGUGCUACACUGAGUGGAUCAGCGGGUCAGGUUGCGCGAAAGUGUUUCCUAAUCUUUAAAUCCGCUCGUGAUGGGGAUUGACGGUUGCAAUUUUCCGUCAUGAACGAGGAAUACCUUGUAAGCGCGGGUCAUCAUCCCGCGCUGAAUACGUCCCUGCCCUUUGUACACACCGCCCGUCGCUCCUACCGAUUGAGUGGUCCGGUGAGGCUUUGGGAUCUGAGCGGAAAGAGCGUUUCGCUGUUUCUGCCCGGAAAACUCAGUCGAACCUUAUCAUUUAGAGGAAGGAGAAGUCGUAACA